AGUGAACGCUGGCGGCAGGCCUAACACAUGCAAGUCGAACGGCAGCACAGCAGUAGCAAUACUGUGGGUGGCGAGUGGCGGACGGGUGAGGAAUACAUCGGAAUCUGCCCAGUCGUGGGGGAUAACAUAGGGAAACUUAUGCUAAUACCGCAUACGACCUGAGGGUGAAAGCGGGGGAUCGCAAGACCUCGCGCGAUUGGAUGAGCCGAUGUCCGAUUAGCUAGUUGGCGGGGUAAUGGCCCACCAAGGCGACGAUCGGUAGCUGGUCUGAGAGGAUGAUCAGCCACACUGGAACUGAGACACGGUCCAGACUCCUACGGGAGGCAGCAGUGGGGAAUAUUGGACAAUGGGCGCAAGCCUGAUCCAGCCAUGCCGCGUGGGUGAAGAAGGCCU
rnacentral:rRNA from 1 species